GUUUACAGGGGCACAUACGGGAUCCACGUGUUGUUCCAUGCACCAACCACUCCAGAUGUUCCAAGCUUUAGAGUAGGAUCGUCGUGUUCCCGGAGCCCAGGCUCCCGCCAGGAGUUCGAGAGUUGUUUGCGGAACGUUUGGCACGACCCAGGGACCCCGGAAAGGAGCCACGCUAACAACCUGAGUUGUCCCUGCGCCAUCAGAGGGUGUGGGUUCCCAUCUGGGUCUGAGAGGAGAUGUGGGUCCUCGGGCAGCAUUCUGGGGAGAUCUAUGGACAUUCCCAUGAGUAAAGGGAACCAAGGCUGUGCAGUCCAGAAUGGAGCUAUGAGGACUAGGGACGUCCGUGUGCGGUCGAGGUGCACUAGCGUUCGUGCCAGUAGGGCGAACGGUGGGAAUGCGUAUAAUCGUUUGUUCGGCCAUGGUUGUAGGAAUGCGUCCGUAGCCAACGCGUCUGGGUCCGGUCUCCAGCUGAAGAAUUCCGGGAGUUGUGUAUUCAACCGUGACGCAAACAGGUCUAUAUACAUCGGACCCCAUAGAGUGUGCAAUCGUAGGAACGUCUCUCGGUU